GGGAAAAAACUUAUAGUCACCCUGAAAACGAAUAACAUCCGUUUGUGUUCUGGUCUUAGGGAUCGCAUUGAAAUAUAAUUGCGACUAUUUAAUGCCAUUAAAGUCACUCCAACGAUUAAUGACUAAUGAUGGUCGGUGAGGGUGGGUUUCCCAGUGGGUGUGUGUGGGUUUUGUGCCUGGGAUUGAUAGAAUGAUUUAAUGACGCCAAUAAAUGGACGGACAAGCGAGCAGGAACGUGCGACACAUUCGAAGCAUUGGCGACCCGCAUGGAUAGUCCAGAAAAACAAAAGAUGGCCGCACCAUUGCCAUAUGGUCUCUUGAGGCUUCCAUUAUUCCAAAUAAAGUGACAUAAAACCAUCAACUGCGUGGCGCAGACAGAAGUGGGUCUAUUAUAACCGUUGCUUGUAAACUAAAAAGUACGUGUACUAUACUAUGCCACCGCACGCAUCCACAUUUUCCUCGCAGUCGGCUUCGAUGCUGUGUUAAUUUGACCAAAUUUUCGGGAUCAUCAGUCUAACAACGACUUCUCAUUGGAGGCUCUUGCUUGGAGUGCACAUUUCACAUCUGAACACCGUAAGCGGUGCUCCCUUGCACUUCGUUGUAUUCGGUAGAGCCCACAAAUCAAGGGUGAAAUAUAUUCGGCGAGCGAUAAAAAUUCAGCAAAGAGGAAACACAGACCUCAAGCGAAUGGAGGAGUCUAUAUACAUGAAAAUGAAGAUGUAAAUUAUACGAAAUGUGAGGCAUUGACCAACCAAAGAGCAGCCACAACAUGGAGGACUGGAAGACGGCGAGCCAUUCCGAACACCAGAGGCAGGUAAUGCUAUCAAUCUACAAGCUGUAUCUAACAGAUGCACUGCAGUGCGAGAGAGGCGGCACUACAGUAUGUUGAAAGGGAUGGUAUGGAGCUGAGUGCCGGGUAAGGAAAGGCAGCUCGCAUACUCGUAUAUAAGAAACACCCUCCCGGGCAAAUGAUUGAUUGCUCAUCAUUUUUCAUUCUUAAUGAAAAUGCACCCCGCUGGCAAGAGUUGAGUUCACUCGCUGGUUGGCUGCCCCGUAGAUCCAGUCGCCAAUGUAUCUGUAUCUGUUUCUGUGUCUGUGUCUGAAUGUGUAUCUGUAUCUGUACCUGCGUCCGUGCCCCGAUGCGGCUAUGUCUGUUCUCGUGGCACACCUGAGUCGCGCAAACAAGCUGGCAGAAAGGUGCAAAGGUGCGAUUAUCGCGACUGUUGGGUGGCAGUGCGGGGAGGGGGCCAGGCUAAGCUUGGCCAAAUUUAACGUUCGCCGCCCAGAGGCAUAAAAAUGGCUGCCAAGAGAGAACAUGGCUUUCCCGUUCCACCACCAUUCCUCGUUCUCACCCGGCUGCCAGUCAACUGUCAAGUGUUCUGUGCCCGCGUCAUGCUAUGCAUCAUCUUAUGGCAGUUAUUAACCUUUGUUUUGCUCCGCCCAACUCUACAUGUUUGCUGCACGUAUCCUCCAGUCCCCCGCGCUUCCAUCCGCAUGGUUUAGGAGCCGAGGCACUUCCAGCUACAGUUCCCGUUUUUACACUGGACAAAAAAGCAAGUGACCAUUGCCCAAAGGUAAAUAGAAGUAAAUCUGUUUGCAAGAGCCAACAUAAAAUCGUUGCAUAAACGGAAGAU
ensembl:ncRNA lncRNA:CR44917 long non-coding RNA:CR44917